UACGAAGGGGGCUAGCGUUGCUCGGAAUUACUGGGCGUAAAGGGCGCGUAGGCGGACAGUUUAGUCAGAGGUGAAAGCCCAGGGCUCAACCUUGGAAAUGCCUUUGAUACUGGCUGUCUUGAGUUCGGGAGAGGUGAGUGGAAUGCCGAGUGUAGAGGUGAAAUUCGUAGAUAUUCGGCGGAACACCAGUGGCGAAGGCGACUCACUGGCCCGAUACUGACGCUGAGGCGCGAAAGCGUGGGGAGCGAACAGG
rnacentral:rRNA from 1 species